rnacentral:rRNA from 1 species
GAUGAACGCUGGCGGCGUGCCUAAUACAUGCAAGUCGAGCGAACGGACGAGAAGCUUGCUUCUCUGAUGUUAGCGGCGGACGGGUGAGUAACACGUGGAUAACCUACCUAUAAGACUGGGAUAACUUCGGGAAACCGUAGCUAAUACCGGAUAAUAUUUUGAACCGCAUGGUUCAAAAGUGAAAGACGGUCUUGCUGUCACUUAUAGAUGGAUCCGCGCUGCAUUAGCUAGUUGGUAAGGUAACGGCUUACCAAGGCAACGAUGCAUAGCCGACCUGAGAGGGUGAUCGGCCACACUGGAACUGAGACACGGUCCAGACUCCUACGGGAGGCAGCAGUAGGGAAUCUUCCGCAAUGGGCGAAAGCCUGACGGAGCAACGCCGCGUGAGUGAUGAAGGACUUCGGAUCGUAAAACUCUGUUAUUAGGGAAGAACAUAUGUGUAAGUAACUGUGCACAUCUUGACGGUACCUAAUCAGAAAGCCACGGCUAACUACGUG